GAAAGGAGCUGUGGGCUGUACACGGCAGUCAUGGUGCUCACUUGAUAUGUACCAUGAUGGUAAGCAUAGACCAGAGAGCAAUACAUUAGCCAAGGCAGAAAGUUUGAACCAAGAACUGCACAAUGAGAUCCUACCCUGAAGAUAAUAAAUGGGUGAGAUAACAUGCUUGUGUCAAAAACUGUGAGGAGGAAUAGAGGCUGCCCGCUUGAGAGAAGGCAAGGCAUUAGGAGUGCUCACUCUUCAGCCAGGACCUAGCUGAACCUCCCUCGGUUGCUGGGGCGCACUGCUCCGAGCAGCCUGCAGGACAGGCACCAUGGCAAGCCUUCUGUGAUCCGGCAGGGCAGGACCAUCGCCACUAACAGCUCUGGGAAAGUAGUUUUUAUUAUUUCUUACUCUUGCAUAGCUGCUGUGGAGGAGCACAAUGCAUAUGGAGCACUGACAUCUUCACUUGCAGAAGAGAAGACAGCAGAAUGUGGGCAGACCCUCAGCUGUGUAUUUUGUCACUACCUGAUCAGUUUAUACCAGCUAAGCAGCUGCCCCUGCAUUAGUCAAAGCAAGACCUAAAUUCCAUAUGUUUACCCCACCAUGUAAAAGGCUCCGUGGCUCCUGUGUUUCUAGUGGCUGAUGGAGUGGGUAGUUCUGUUUAUCACUCCCCCAGAACAUGUCAGAUGAAUGUGUAGUCAGCUGUCACAGCCUUAAAAGGCUGUACACCCCCAAAGGCAUCGCGCAGCUCCAGGAGUUUACUCUCCUUUCUCUGCUUAGGAGCCUGAUGGAAACAAUACAGAAAUCUGAAUCUUUGUGCACCUAGAAAAUGAUGAAGCCUUCAUGUACCCUGACAUUUGCGCCAUACAUGCCAGUCAAGAGAAAAUUAGGGAGUUUGGAAGCUGCAGUAACACACAGCAACGCAUCUGAAGCACAGUUCAUAGCUGCUUCUGUGCCCACCCUGGAGGAUCUCAUUUCCCAAGCUGUGCUACAUCACGCCACCUUUGACAAACUUAGAAGUUGGUACGAAAAGCAAGGCAUGCCAAUAUUUCAAAGAAUGCUAUUUGCUUGAGUAUGGUAAAAGACUAUGGCACCCACUGAUCAUAAAAUUUUGAGAAAAAGAAUGACAAAACCCAAUACAAGAAUAGAUUGAAAUCUCUUCACUUUUAUUAAUCUAAGUAAUGUAAAAGAGUGAAAAAACUUAUAAAAAAAAUCUUUCUAAUAAAUUCAUGUAUGUGGAGGCUUA